GCACUCAAGGAUAAACUGACUUCUGCCCCAGUGCUUGCUCCCCCUGAUUCUCGCAAGGACUUUGUCAUCUAUUGUGAUGCUUCACGUCAAGGAUUAGGCUGUGUUCUAAUGCAAGAGCGCAGGGUGAUUGCCUAUGCCUCCCGUCAAGUGCGUCCUCACGAAGAAAACUACCCGGUUCAUGACCUUGAGCUUGCAGCGGUUAUCUUUGCAUUGAAGCUAUGGCGACAAUACCUUCUCGGUAAUCGUUGUGAGAUCUUCACUGAUCAUCAGAGUCUGAAGUACCUGUUUACUCAGCCAGAUCUGAACCUCCGUCAGCAGUGA
rnacentral:rRNA from 1 species